rnacentral:lncRNA from 1 species
CUGGGUAAAGUUGUAAGCUCUGCCCUGGAUAGGAGUCCUCCCUUGAUUCUGGUUCCUCGGGCAUUCUCUAGCAUAAUGCUGGGCACUGCCACAAAUGCGACAAAUGUUGUUGAGGCGGUAGCAGGUCCCCGUGAUCUCUGCCGCAGUGUUGACAGAUUUUCCCACGUGCUGCCCCUAGGGCUUGAGGAGGGGCCUGGAUGGCUGGUCUGGGCCUCUUAUUUGGCUGGGUAGGUGCGGUAGGUGCUGGCCUGCGGAACGGAGCUAAGGGUCGGGAACUCCCUCCUGG